AACGCGAAGAACCUUACUCGGGUUUGACUUCCACAAGCAGCAUAUAGACAUGGGCGCUCCCUUGUGGCUGGUGUGCAGGUGGUGCAUGGCUGUCGUCAGCUCGUGUCGUCAGAUGUUGGGUUAAGUCCCGCAACGAGCGCAACCCUCCUUCCAUGUUGCCAGCGCGUUAUGGUAGGGACUCAUGAGAGACUGCCCGGGUCAACUCGGAGGAAGGUUGGGAUGACGUCAAGUCAUCAUGCGCCUUAUGUGCAGGGCUUCACACAUGCUACAAUGGGCAGUACAGAGGGCUGCGAGACCCGUGCGGUGGAGAGAAUCUCUUAAAGCCGGUCUCAGUUCGGAUCGGGGUCUGCAACUCGACUCCGUGAAGUUGGAGUCGCUAGUAAUCGCAGAUCAGCAACGCUGCGGUGAAUACGUUCCCGGGUCUUUGUACACACCG
rnacentral:rRNA from 1 species